AAUGGCUCCUGGGUCACUCUCGCUUCAAAAAAGAAGUGAGGAAGCUCUGCCCACCCUUCAUAAGUUGCAAAGGCUUAAGGCCUGUGCAUUUUGAACAGAAACGACACCUGCUGUUUUAGCAGGAUGAAACGGCAAAAUGCACGCAACUGGGUGCAAAGGCAUUUUGCCUGCUAAGUCAAAUGUGACCUAAAACAGAAGGCAGACUACAAGGAGCCAUU
rnacentral:RNase_P_RNA from 1 species